rnacentral:rRNA from 1 species
AGUGAACGCUGGCGGUAGGCCUAACACAUGCAAGUCGAACGGCAGCACAGUAAGAGCUUGCUCUUACGGGUGGCGAGUGGCGGGCGGGUGAGGAAUACAUCGGAAUCUACUUUUUCGUGGGGGACAACGUAGGGAAACUUACGCUAAUACCGCAUACGAUCUACGGGUGAAAGCAGGGGAGCUUCGGACCUUGCGCGAUUGAAUGAGCCGAUGUCGGAUUAGUUAGUUGGCGGGGUAAAGGCCCACCAAGGCGACGAUCCGUAGCUGGUCUGAGAGGAUGAUCGGCACACCUGGACCUGAGACCCGGCCCAGCCCCCUACGGGAGGCAGCGGUGGGGAAUAUUGGACAAUGGGCGCAACCCUGAUCCAGCCAUCCCGCGUGGGUGAAGAAGGCCUUCGGGUUGUAAAGCCCUUUUGUUGGGAAAGAAAAGCAGCAGGUUAACACCCCGCUGUUCGGCCGGUCCCCAAAGAAUAAGCACCGGCAAACUCCGU